rnacentral:rRNA from 1 species
UACGUAGGGUCCGAGCGUUGUCCGGAAUUAUUGGGCGUAAAGGGCUCGUAGGCGGUUUGUCGCGUCGGGAGUGAAAACACGGGGCUUAACCCCGUGCCUGCUUCCGAUACGGGCAGACUAGAGGUAUGCAGGGGAGAACGGAAUUCCUGGUGUAGCGGUGAAAUGCGCAGAUAUCAGGAGGAACACUGGUGGCGAAGGCGGGUCUCUGGGCCGAUACUGACGCUGAGGAGCGAAAGCGUGGGUAGCAAACAGG